UAUCUACUCCCUCCGUCCGAAAAUACUUGUCAUCAAAAUAAAUAAAAAAGGAUGUAUAUAGAACUAAAAUACAUCUAGAUACAUCCCCUUUUAUUCAUUUUAAUGACAAGUAUUUCCGGACGGAGGGAGUAUCUC
rnacentral:pre_miRNA from 1 species